GGUCGCAUAGCUCAGUUGGGAGAGCAUCUGCCUUACAAGCAGAGGGUCAUAGGUUCGAGUCCUAUUGCGACCACCA
rnacentral:tRNA from 11 species